UGCAAUGAAGUGUUGACGUUUGUCCA
rnacentral:piRNA from 1 species